UAGCAGCGCAUGUAAACAUCCUACACUCUCAGCUGUGAAUUUGUGGUGGCUGGGAGAAGGUUGUUUACACCUUCU
ensembl:miRNA aca-mir-30c-2 aca-mir-30c-2